UGGGGAAUUUUGGACAAUGGGCGAAAGCCUGAUCCAGCAAUGCCGCGUGUGUGAAGAAGGCCUUCGGGUUGUAAAGCACUUUUGUCCGGAAAGAAAUCCUUGGCUCUAAUACAGUCGGGGGAUGACGGUACCGGAAGAAUAAGCACCGGCUAACUACGUGCCAGCAGCCGCGGUAAUACGUAGGGUGCAAGCGUUAAUCGGAAUUACUGGGCGUAAAGCGUGCGCAGGCGGUUUGCUAAGACCGAUGUGAAAUCCCCGGGCUCAACCUGGGAACUGCAUUGGUGACUGGCAGGCUAGAGUAUGGCAGAGGGGGGUAGAAUUCCACGUGUAGCAGUGAAAUGCGUAGAGAUGUGGAGGAAUACCGAUGGCGAAGGCGGCCCCCUGGGCCAAUACUGACGCUCAUGCACGAAAGCGUGGGGAGCAAAACAGGAUUAGAUACCCUGGUAGUCCACGCCCUAAACGAUGUCAACUAGUUGUUGGGGAUUCAUUUCCUUAGUAACGUAGCUAACGCGUGAAGUUGACCGCCUGGGGAGUACGGUCGCAAGAUUAAAACUCAAAGGAAUUGACGGGGUCAUA
rnacentral:rRNA from 1 species